rnacentral:sRNA from 2 species
ACAAGCCUACUUCUCUCUUUCUAUUCUUCCUUUCUUCCUUACUUUGCUUCUUUUUGCUUCUGCUUUUUAAAAAUAACACACAUACAUUUGCGGACCAGGCUCCCGCUGCGCAUAGCCAACCAUGUUUACAUUUGGCAUUUGGUCAGAAAGACCAUCAUGGUUAACUACGCUGUCCAACCCCGUUGUCCCCAGGGACCAGCCAAUCCGCUGGCGAACCCCUAUUAUCUGCUACUCUGUGUGGAUGAAUACACGUACGUGGUCGAUGAAGGCUGAUACAUGAUGCUGAUGAUGAUAAUAUAUUUAUUUUACUUUGAGGGAUCCAGCGUUUCAAAAAGCAUUUCUGGUAAGCAAAUCUCCCCGGGUUGGUAGAUAAGUCAUAAGAUAAGAGCUCUCUGGAUUUAUUAUUUUUUUUUUAUUGUCAAUCAACCCAGCCGAGAAAGGCGGUGUAAAUAAAAAACACACAAUAAAUUGAUAAAAUUCGGCCGGCAUCCUCCGUCUGGCUGGAACUGGCUGGAACCCGUAGCUGGUGAGAGAGUUGGCUGGCGUUUGGCAUUUGAUUAGGGUUGCAGACACACACCGCCACGAUCCAGAGAUUGGUUGAUGCCCGUUAUCUGCUUGGGUCCUGACAGCGGGUGAUGAUGAUGAUGAUGAUGAUACUUAGUUACAACUUACCCUGAAGCCGCUCAACAACAGGCAGAAAAAGCCAAUCCAAGAGUUAAUAGGACAUAGCAGUUAAAUAGUAAAUAUAUAGUGGCAU